GUAGGUGGCAAGCGUUGUCCGGAAUUAUUGGGCGUAAAGCGCGCGCAGGCGGUCCUUUAAGUCUGAUGUGAAAGCCCACGGCUCAACCGUGGAGGGUCAUUGGAAACUGGGGGACUUGGGUACAGAAGAGGAAAGCGGAAUUCCAAGUGUAGCGGUGAAAUGCGUAGAGAUUUGGAGGAACACCAGUGGCGAAGGCGGCUUUCUGGUCUGUAACUGACGCUGAGGCGCGAAAGCGUGGGGAGCAAACAGGAUUAGAUACCCUGGUAGUCCACGCCGUAAACGAUGAGUGCUAAGUGUUAGGGGGUUUUCCCGCCCCCCUUAGUGCUGCAGCUAACGCAUUAAGCACUCCGCCUGGGGGAGUACGGCCGCAAGGCUG
rnacentral:rRNA from 1 species